GUUGUGAGGUUAAGCGACUAAGCGUACACGGUGGAUGCCCUGGCAGUCAGAGGCGAUGAAGGACGUGCUAAUCUGCGAUAAGCGUCGGUAAGGUGAUAUGAACCGUUAUAACCGGCGAUUUCCGAAUGGGGAAACCCAGUGUGAUUCGUCACACUAUCAUUAACUGAAUCCAUAGGUUAAUGAGGCGAACCGGGGGAACUGAAACAUCUAAGUACCCCGAGGAAAAGAAAUCAACCGAG
rnacentral:rRNA from 1 species